CGUUCCCGGGCCUUGUACACACCGCCCGUCACGCCACGAAAGUUUAUUGUACCAAAAAACGGUGCGCUAACCCGCAAGGGGGGCAGCCGGCUACGGUAUGGUAGAUGAUUGGGGCG
rnacentral:rRNA from 1 species